rnacentral:rRNA from 1 species
GAUGAACGCUGGCGGCGUGCCUAAUACAUGCAAGUCGAGCGAACGGACGAGAAGCUUGCUUCUCUGAUGUUAGCGGCGGACGGGUGAGUAACACGUGGAUAACCUACCUAUAAGACUGGGAUAACUUCGGGAAACCGGAGCUAAUACCGGAUAAUAUUUUGAACCGCAUGGUUCAAAAGUGAAAGACGGUCUUGCUGUCACUUAUAGAUGGAUCCGCGCUGCAUUAGCUAGUUGGUAAGGUAACGGCUUACCAAGGCAACGAUGCAUAGCCGACCUGAGAGGGUGAUCGGCCACACUGGAACUGAGACACGGUCCAGACUCCUACGGGAGGCAGCAGUAGGGAAUCUUCCGCAAUGGGCGAAAGCCUGACGGAGCAACGCCGCGUGAGUGAUGAAGGUCUUCGGAUCGUAAAACUCUGUUAUUAGGGAAGAACAUAUGUGUAAGUAACUGUGCACAUCUUGACGGUACCUAAUCAGAAAGCCACGGCUAACUACGUGCCAGCAGCCGCGGUAAUACGUAGGUGGCAAGCGUUAUCCGGAAUUAUUGGGCGUAAAGCGCGCGUAGGCGGUUUUUUAAGUCUGAUGUGAAAGCCCACGGCUCAACCGUGGAGGGUCAUUGGAAACUGGAAAACUUGAGUGCAGAAGAGGAAAGUGGAAUUCCAUGUGUAGCGGUGAAAUGCGCAGAGAUAUGGAGGAACACCAGUGGCGAAGGCGACUUUCUGGUCUGUAACUGACGCUGAUGUGCGAAAGCGUGGGGAUCAAACAGGAUUAGAUACCCUGGUAGUCCACGCCGUAAACGAUGAGUGCUAAGUGUUAGGGGGUUUCCGCCCCUUAGUGCUGCAGCUAACGCAUUAAGCACUCCGCCUGGGGAGUACGACCGCAAGGUUGAAACUCAAAGGAAUUGACGGGGACCCGCACAAGCGGUGGAGCAUGUGGUUUAAUUCGAAGCAACGCGAAGAACCUUACCAAAUCUUGACAUCCUUUGACAACUCUAGAGAUAGAGCUUUCCCCUUCGGGGGACAAAGUGACAGGUGGUGCAUGGUUGUCGUCAGCUCGUGUCGUGAGAUGUUGGGUUAAGUCCCGCAACGAGCGCAACCCUUAAGCUUAGUUGCCAUCAUUAAGUUGGGCACUCUAAGUUGACUGCCGGUGACAAACCGGAGGAAGGUGGGGAUGACGUCAAAUCAUCAUGCCCCUUAUGAUUUGGGCUACACACGUGCUACAAUGGACAAUACAAAGGGCAGCGAAACCGUGAGGUCAAGCAAAUCCCAUAAAGUUGUUCUCAGUUCGGAUUGUAGUCUGCAACUCGACUACAUGAAGCUGGAAUCGCUAGUAAUUGUAGAUCAGCAUGCUACGGUGAAUACGUUCCCGGGUCU